AAUAUGUUUGUUAUUGGUUACAAACAAAAACAAAUGAAUAAUAGUGUGGUAACGGGAUUACUGUGUUCAGUCAUGCCCGAUUUGAAUUCAAAAAACGUUACCGAAGAUCUGCAGUUUUUGUACAUUUUAAUACAUGGCUAUACCUGGCCAAUGAGAUGAAGUUGUACCACUUCCAUCAGUCCCGACAUUUGUCAAAGAAGUGCAGUUUGUAAAUGACCAAGUGGAUGAAGCACCCACACUCUCACCGGUCCAGAUAUUCCUCAAAGAAGAGGAAGGUGCGUAUUGUAAGGCAGAAGAGCCUGUGCUGGUCUCACUUGUCCCAGUGCUUCUCAAAGAAGAACAUGUG